CACCCUCCAUCACUGUGAUAUUUGUGUAUAUAAUAAUAUAUUUGCUUUUACUGUUGUCUAAGGUGGCCCCUUCCUAGUGGUAACUACUUAGACUACCAAGCCUAUGAAGUUUCAGAAACGACGAGACUCAGAUGCAUUAGCCAGGGAGUCGCCUUUGCCAAACUCUAACGGCUACACUUCCUCUUUAGAUACAUACCCAUUUCCGUGCUUUUCUUUUUCUUCAACCAGUUUGGACUCGGAGGAGUACGCAGGAUCUUACUUAACUCAGCUUUCUUUUGUAUUGCUUUCCUCGGCCCAAGAAGGUGAAUAUGUCCUCUUCAAGGCCAAGCCAAUCUUCUACCAAUUCAGGGAGGUCAAGACAUAGUGCUAGGAUUAUUGCUCAGACUACUGUAGAUGCAAAGCUUCAGGCAGACUUUGAAUCAUCGGGUAGUUCCUUUGACUACUCGAGUACAGUGCGAGUAACCAGUUCAGUUGAUGAGCAGCAACCUAGGUCUGAUAAAGUAACCACAGCUUAUCUUCAUCACAUACAGAAAGGCAAGCUGAUUCAGCCAUUUGGGUGCUUGCUAGCCUUGGAUGAGAAAACUUUCAAGGUCAUAGCAUACAGUGAGAAUGCCUCUGAAAUGUUGACAAUGGUUAGUCAUGCAGUCCCAAGUGUUGGAGACCAUGCAGUUCUUGGAGUUGGAACUGACAUAAGGACCAUCUUCACUGCCCCCAGUGCCUCCGCAUUGCUGAAGGCCCUAGGAUUUGGUGAGGUUUCUCUUUUGAAUCCCAUUUUGGUCCACUGUAAGACCUCUGGGAAGCCCUUUUAUGCAAUUGUCCACCGAGUAACAGGUAGCUUGAUCAUUGACUUUGAACCUGUGAAGCCUUAUGAAGUUCCCAUGACUGCUGCUGGGGCCCUGCAGUCAUACAAACUUGCAGCCAAGGCAAUUACCCGCUUGCAGUCUUUACCUAGUGGGAGUAUGGAGAGGCUUUGUGAUACUAUGGUUCAGGAGGUGUUUGAACUUACAGGUUAUGAUAGGGUGAUGACUUAUAAAUUUCAUGAUGAUGACCAUGGUGAAGUCGUCUCUGAGAUCACAAAGCCUGGUCUGGAGCCAUAUUUAGGUUUGCACUAUCCAGCCACUGAUAUUCCUCAGGCUGCACGCUUUCUGUUUAUGAAGAAUAAGGUCCGCAUGAUCGUUGAUUGUCGUGCAAAACAUGUCAAGGUGAUUCAAGAUGAGAAACUUCCCUUUGAUCUAACCUUGUGUGGUUCAACCUUAAGAGCUCCUCACAGUUGCCAUUUACAAUAUAUGGAAAACAUGACUUCUAUUGCUUCUCUAGUGAUGGCAGUUGUAGUGAAUGAGGAGGGGGAAGAGGGUGACAGCCCUACUUCUGUACAACCACAGAAAAGAAAGAGACUUUGGGGUUUAGUAGUCUGUCAUAACACAACUCCAAGGUUUGUUCCAUUCCCUCUUAGGUAUGCCUGUGAGUUUCUGGCUCAGGUAUUUGCCAUACAUGUCAACAAGGAGCUGGAGUUAGAGAACCAAAUCGUUGAGAAGAAUAUCCUGCGUACUCAGACUCUCUUGUGUGAUAUGCUUAUGCGGGAUGCUCCCUUGGGUAUUGUGACACAGACCCCUAAUAUUAUGGAUCUUGUCAAAUGUGAUGGGGCUGCCCUAUUGUACAAGAAAAAGAUAUGGAGAUUGGGACUGACUCCAAGUGACUUCCAGAUACAUGAUAUAGCAUCAUGGCUCUCUGAGUACCAUAUGGAUUCCACGGGUUUGAGUACAGAUAGCUUAUAUGAUGCGGGUUUCCCGGGGGCCCUGGCUCUUGGAGAUGUAGUCUGUGGAAUGGCAGCUGUGAGGAUAUCUUCCAAGGACAUCAUUUUCUGGUUCCGGUCACACACUGCUUCAGAGAUUCGUUGGGGUGGUGCAAAGCAUGAACCAGGUGAGAAGGAUGAUGGCAGGAGGAUGCAUCCAAGAUCAUCGUUCAAGGCUUUCCUUGAAGUUGUCAAAACAAGGAGCUUACCUUGGAAAGACUAUGAAAUGGAUGCAAUCCAUUCUUUGCAGCUUAUAUUAAGGAAUGCGUUCAAAGAUGUUGAAGCUUUGGACAUAGGCAGCAAAUCAAUCCACUCAAAGCUCAGUGACCUCAAAAUAGAAGGAAUGAAAGAACUUGAAGCAGUUACAAGUGAAAUGGUCCGUCUCAUUGAAACGGCUACAGUACCAAUUUUGGCGGUUGAUGUUGAUGGGCUGGUUAAUGGAUGGAAUACAAAAAUCGCUGAGUUAACUGGUCUUCCCGUUGAAAAAGCAAUAGGGAAGCAUUUGCUCACACUUGUGGAAGAUACUUCAAUUGACAAAGUCAAAAGGAUGCUAUACUUGGCAUUGCAGGGUCAAGAGGAGCAUGACAUUGAAUUUGAGAUUAAAACAUAUGGAUCUAAGACUGACACCAGUCCCCCCAUCAGUUUAGUUGUGAAUGCUUGUGCAAGCAGGGACCUCCAUGAAAAUGUUGUUGGUGUUUGUUUUGUUGCACAGGAUAUAACUGGUCAGAAAACUGUCAUGGACAAAUUCACCAGGAUUGAAGGUGAUUACAAAGCAAUUGUACAGAAUCCAAACCCAUUGAUACCACCUAUAUUUGGUACAGAUGAAUUUGGAUGGUGCUCUGAGUGGAAUCCUGCAAUGGAAAAGAUAAGUGGGUGGAAAAGAGAGGAAGUGCUAGACAAAUUACUUUUGGCAGAAGUUUUUGGGACCAACGUGGCAUUAUGCCGGCUCAAGAACCAAGAGGCUUUUAUAAAUCUUGGCAUUGUUCUGAACAAUGCCAUGACUGGUCAGGAUCCUGAGAAGGUUCCUUUUGGUUUCUUUGGUCGGAAUGGAAAGUAUGUGGAAUGCUUGUUGUGUGUGAGUAAGAAAUUGGACAGAGAGGGAGCUGUCACUGGUGUCUUCUGCUUCUUGCAGCUUGCCAGCCAAGAGCUGCAACAGGCACUUCAUAUCCAGCGAUUAUCAGAACAAACUGCCGUGAAGAGAUUAAAAAGAUUAGCUUAUAUUAGAAGGCAGAUACGGAAUCCUCUUUCCGGGAUCAUAUUUUCUCAGAGAAUGCUGGAGGGAACUGACCUAGGAGAGGAACAAAAACAAAUUUUGCAUACUAGUGCACAGUGCCAGCGCCAACUCAACAAGGUUCUUGAUGACUCAGAUCUUGAUAGCAUCAUUGAUGGCUACUUGGAUCUGGAAAUGGUUGAGUUUACUCUGCAUGAAGUGUUGGUGGCCUCUAUCAGUCAAGUUAUGAUAAAGAGCACUGGAAAGGGAAUCCGAAUAGUCAAUGAAACAGCAGAAGGGUUCAUGACUGAAACAUUAUAUGGAGAUAGUAUUAGGCUUCAACAGGUCUUAGCUGAUUUCUUGUUAGUAUCAGUUAGGUUUACCCCAAAUGGAGACCAGCUUACUGUUACAGCUAAUUUAACCAAGGAUCAGUUAGGCCAAUCUGUUCAUCUUGCACGAUUGGAGCUCAGGAUAACACAUGCGGGCGGGGGCAUACCUGAAGCAUUGCUGAACCAAAUGUUUGGAACUGAUGGAGACAUAUCGGAGGAGGGCAUCAGCCUGCUUAUUAGCAGAAAGCUGGUAAAGCUUAUGAAUGGAGAUGUGCAGUAUCUGAGGGAAGAAGGGAAGUCAACUUUCAUCAUGGCUGUUGAACUUGCUGCAGCCCACAAAUCUCAGACCUAAUCAAUUUUCAAGGAACUAAGUUCUGUAGCAUUCUGUGUACAGAUAAAAAUCGAAUUUGGAGUUCAAUCCUGAAUUUUCCCCUAGCCUGUGGUGCUUAUGAAACUAUAACUUCUAGCUCAAAUCUUCUACUCUGACAGGAUGGUGGUCAGUGCUUUUUGCUUUCCCUUUCAAUCAUUUUUCAGAUAUUAUGCUACAACAAAGACAGAAAAUAGAGAGAGACUGUCUCUGCAGACGGGGAAGCAACUAUAACAGGUGCUAUUGAAGGCAGUGUUUGUUUAGUAAAGCAAAAAGCUAGUGCAUUGGGGUGAGAAGGAUCUGUUCCUGUCAGCAACAAGAAUCAGUAAGUUAUGGCUUUUGGGUGGUAGGUUCCAUAGCUACUGAAAAUUUUUAUCUUCAGUAGAAGUUAAAUUCAAAGUUUGAAUCAGGUUAUAUAUGAUGCAAUAGUUGACAGGGUGGUUGUUAGUGUCAGUCAGUGAACUAGUGAGGAUGAGAAGUAAAGCUGAAGCUUUUCCAUUUAUUUUAAGGCCAAAGGACUGUUUCCCACCCAAGGUUUGGUAAAAAGACACACCCACGGGAGUUCUAAAAUCUAAAUACCCUUUCAAGGUUUACUUCAUUACCACAAACCCAAGAAUUUUUUAUUAGGGUUAAGGGGUAAAAUUGUCAUUCUAUCAGUAAUAUUAAAAUAAAUAAAAUAUAUCUCAUUUUCCCCUUUUGUUUGAAAAACUAACAAUUUUCCAUUAGAAUUAAGUUUUGAAAAAGUUCAUUUUUUCCUCUAGGGUUUUAAUUUUUUGGCAAAACCUCUCCCUCUCCGGCAACUGGCACUGUUCGGCCAUCUUUCCUUUUUCUAGCCUCAUCUUCAUUGGAGAAGAUGAGUUUUCGUAUAGAUGAAUCAACGAGGUUGUCGAUUUGACUUCGUUGGUUGGAAUCAACGACCAUGUCUAGAACCAUGGGUAGGAAAAGACCAAAAGGCAACGAAUACGUGGCGGAGUGUAGCUAAUUUGAUAAAAACAUUACAGUCUUUGAUUCGUUGUCAGUCAAAGCUUUUUUGCAUGUCAUCAGAGUCAUGGACAGUGAUAGAGGGAAAACAAAGGACGGAGAUGGUGGCUGUCACCGGAGAGAAGAAAACCUAGGGAUUUGGGGAGGAAAAAUCACUUUUCAAAGUUGAGACUUGGGGUAAAAUAUCAAUUUUCAAAACCUGGUGGAGAGGGGAAACAAGAUUAAUUUAUAUAUUUUUUUAAUAUUAUUGUUAAAAUGACAAUUUUAUCUUUAUAUUUAAUGUCAAUUUUAAUGAAAGUUUAGGGACAGGUGGGUGUCUAGGUUUUUAAACUCUCGCGAAUAUGUUUUUGUCUUUUCACCGAACAUUGGACAAGAAAUAGUCCUUUAGCCUUUAUUUUAAUAGUUUUAUCCUGAGGGUUGAUGUUUGCAGAUGUGCAAUUCCUUCAGGAUUUCUGGGUAAUGUGAUUGAGAGAAAUAGCCUAUCAUUCAUGAAUUAAAGUAUUGGUGAACCUGACAAUUUUCCAGCUGAUAAUUGCAGCAUUGUUAAACUGGUUGCCCCACAAGUCACCUAAUAUCCAUUGACUAUGUCACAGUGUAGUUGCAAAGUUAUAAUUAUAUCAUUAUCAUCACAACCAUGACUGUGUUGUUCUACCCUGUAGCCAUAAAGUUACAAUUAUCAUCUUUAUCAUAGACACGUUGUGUUAUUAGUGGAAUAGGUCUGCCUGUCACUU